AAGCAGUAAUUGAAAGCACUAUGUUCAUGAAGGUGGUUUUCCCAGGUAAGGAUUAUCCACUGCACUCCAGAUAUGCCAAGCUCUGUGAUUCUUCCAAAUGUGGGAAACUCCAUAAUUUGUGGUAGUGGGUACUGCAUUUGCACUUUUCUU
ensembl:snRNA U1 U1 spliceosomal RNA